rnacentral:rRNA from 1 species
AGUGGCGGACGGGUGAGUAACGCGUGGGUAACCUGCCUCAUACAGGGGGAUAACAGUUAGAAAUGACUGCUAAUACCGCAUAAGACCACAGCACCGCAUGGUGCAGGGGUAAAAACUCCGGUGGUAUGAGAUGGACCCGCGUCUGAUUAGGUAGUUGGUGGGGUAACGGCCUACCAAGCCGACGAUCAGUAGCCGACUUGAGAGGGUGACCGGCCACAUUGGGACUGAGACACGGCCCAA